rnacentral:rRNA from 1 species
GACGAACGCUGGCGGCGUGCCUAAUACAUGCAAGUCGAACGCAGUGGGGACGGGUGAGUAACACGUGGGUAACCUCCCAUCAGAGGGGAUAACACUUGGAAACAGGUGCUAAACCGAUACUGAUGGAUGAACCCGCGGUGCAUUAGCUAGUUGGUGAGGUAACGGCUCACCAAGGCCACGAUGCAUAGCCGACCGGAGAUGGGGAUCGGCCAAAUUGGGACUGCGAAAGGGCCCAGAUCCCUACGGGAGGCAGCAGUGGGGAAUCUUCGGCAAUGGACGAAAGUCUGACCGAGCAACGCGGCGUGAGUGAAGAGGGUUUUCGGAUCGUAAACCUCUGUGGUUAGAGAAGCGGUAUCUAACCAGAAAGCCACGGCUAACUACGUGCCAGCAGCCGCGGUAAUU